CCGACCGGCCGGCUGGGGAAGAGCUGCAUGCAACCGGUGGGAGGCCGGGCCGGCUAGGGCUCCGGCUUGAGCUCGGAACGUUUCUUGGCGGGUCUCUGGCGGCGAGCGCGGACCGCCCGGCGGCGGCGGCUCUGAGCUGGCAGGCGGAGGGCUGUCUCCCGCGCCCGCCUGCCCGGCGCGGUCCGAGGAUGCGGGGGGGCGAUGCCCGGGGCCAGGGACGCGCUCUGUCACCAGGCGCUGCAGCUGCUGGCCGAGCUCUGUGCCCGUGGGGCCCUGGAGCACGACAGCUGCCAAGAUUUCAUCUACCACCUGCGGGACCGUGCCAGACCCCGGCUCCGCGACCCAGAUAUCUCAGUGAGCCUGCUGACCCUCGUGGUCACUGCCUGUGGUCUUGCCCUCUUUGGCGUGUCUCUCUUCGUGUCUUGGAAACUCUGCUGGGUUCCAUGGCGAGAACGAGGCCUACUCUCUGGUAGCAAAGACGACAACCAGGAACCUUUUAACUGCACGGACACAGAGACCAAUGAGCAGGAGAACAGUGAGGACUUCCUAGAUCUACCCACACCCUGCCCUGACUCCUCCAUGAAGAUCAGCCACACCUCCCCUGAUAUUCCCCUCUCCACCCAGCCGGGGGUCCAGGAGAACUGUGCCCAUGGCGUCCGUGUGCAGCGCCAAGUUACAGAGCCAACCUCAUCCGCUCGGCAUAAUUCAAUCCGAAGACAACUCAACCUGUCAAACCCGGACUUCAAUAUCCAGCAGCUUCAAAAACAGGAACAGUUGACUGGAAUCGGUAGAAUUAAACCUGAAUUAUAUAAGCAGAGGUCAUUGGAUAAUGAUGAUGGGAGAAGGAGUAACAGCAAAGCUUGUGGGAAACUGAACUUCAUUUUAAAAUAUGACUGCGAUUUAGAGCAGCUCAUAGUGAAGAUUCACAAAGCUGUCAAUUUGCCCGCCAAGGACUUUUCUGGGACUUCAGAUCCUUACGUCAAGAUCUAUUUGCUUCCUGAUCGGAAAACAAAACAUCAGACUAAAGUUCACAGAAAGACCCUGAACCCUGUGUUUGAUGAAGUGUUUUUAUUCCCAGUUCCCUACAAUGACCUUGAGGCUCGGAAGCUUCACUUCUCUGUGUACGACUUUGACAGGUUCUCUCGCCACGAUUUAAUCGGCCAAGUGGUGGUGGAUCACUUCUUAGACUUGGCUGAUUUCCCCAGGGAGUGCAUCCUUUGGAAGGAUAUUGAAUAUGUCACUAACGACAAUGUGGAUCUUGGAGAGCUGAUGUUUUCCCUCUGUUAUCUUCCCACGGCUGGCAGGCUGACCAUUACCAUUAUAAAAGCAAGAAAUUUAAAGGCAAUGGACAUAACAGGAGCAUCAGAUCCCUAUGUGAAAGUGUCACUGAUGUGUGAUGGCAGGAGACUGAAGAAGAGGAAAACAUCCACCAAGAGGAACACGCUGAAUCCUGUUUACAACGAAGCCAUAGUCUUUGAUGUCCCUCCUGAGAACAUUGACCAAAUCCAUUUGUCCAUAGCAGUCAUGGAUUAUGACCGGUCACAAUGAGAUCAUUGGCGUGUGUCAAGUUGGCAACCAGGCUGAGAGGCUGGGCAGAGACCACUGGAGUGAAAUGCUGUCAUAUCCUCGGAAGCCCAUUGCACAUUGGCAUUCCCUGGUGGAGAAACGAUGACUAUGAAUUAAAGAACUGCUUGACCCAAGGCACAGUAGGACAACCUCUUAAAAAAAAGAUCUUAAGUAACUUUUUCCAUCCAGCAACACCCGGAUGACUCCAGUGACCAAAUGUUCAGCUGUAAACACAGCAAUAACUGGCCAUCUUUGCUAUUUGGAUUUGGUGAACCUGAAUAGUCCAGCCACUUUCUUCGGGUGGCCCAUGGUGAUGAACUACAGGGGAAGCUUGUCUCUCAUUGCCAAGAACCAAGAUUGGACUAUGGAAGAAAGCAAGUUGACAUAGUGAGAGUCCCAAGAGUAUCAGGACUCUCAGUGAUUGAUAUAAAGCCCCUGGUGAUGGGAACAUAGCACCUGCUAUGGCAGUGGUCACUCUGACAUGAUUAUUUGCUUGAAUGCCCUGGAAGGAUAAAAUAUUUAAAAAUAUAUCCAGGUGCUAGCAGCAGAUCUCAAUUCAAACUCUACUACCUACCCUAGCUAACAACUGUCUUUGGAGACUUAAUUUUACCUUCAGGAGUACUCCAGCUUCACAAAGAAUAGCCCCCAGAGAAUAAUAGGAUAAGCAGGCCACUCCCCUGGAGAAGAAUCUAGUAUAAAGAGGAUUAGUUUGCAGAAAAUUCACUGCCUCCUCCCGUGUACAUGGCAGACUACCAGUUGAUCAUGGCCCUCUUUUAUGCCAAAACCGGAUUCUGAGUUUUGAGAUUCUACAACAUUAUUUUUAAGUAACCAAGUCACUUCCUUUCAAUUGGUAGUGUUAUUAGAAUCAAAUUUAAUUGUCAUCUCUAUUAGAGAGGUAUACCUCUCAGGUCAUAUGCAUUCUGGAAUAUCUUUUCCCAGGCACAUUUGUCCAGUGAGGGAACAGCCUCAGAAGUAGGUAGAGCAUUGUGUGAAAUAAGAUCAUGGAGAUCUCACAGCGGUUCCCUGGGGGAAGGCACAGCUUUGGGCCUCCUUGGCCUGAGUGCCUUCCGGGGUAUCUCCAUAUGCAGAAGCUCAGAGCCUAGCCUUGGACAGCCACAGACACGGGUUUUCUUCUCACUUCAGACACAUAUCAUUUCCAUAGCACUUGGGGAAUGGAAAUACCUAUAGGAGUGAAGGUCAAGGGCUCUCCCCGGGUAACUCUUCCAUUAUUCAGCUUCCCUUUUGCCAAUCUGCUACCAGCUAUGCGCCCCAUCAUUAUUGCUUCUGCCUCCACAGAAAUGAAACCAAAGGCCUCAGCAUACCCUGGCAGGACCAGGGGGCUGUUACCUAACAGUCCUCUUUCAUUAUGGGUACAAGGCACCUUAUCCAUGCAUUUGCACCAUGACUUCAAGAUAACAUCUCCCUUUUCAUACAGUCUCUUUGCAGCAGAUUCCAGAAUUGGAUUGUAGUUUAUCUUACUGGAAAAUGCAUUAUCUUCAUUUCAAUUAACAUUUUGAUGUGGGACCAGCUGGGCAGAAGCAGGAUCAUUGCAUAUCCUCAGAAAUUCUUAUUACCUUGGCUGCCUGGUACAAGAUGUCAAGAUGUAUGUAUCCUGAUAUCAAAUCAAAAAAAUGGUGGAGGCCUUUGGGGUGUGAGGCAGUAUUAAUACACUCAAGCUUCAUGCAUUCCCCAACCUGCCUAAUUCAUUUCCAUAUCAUUAUCUUUCAACCUUGGGCUUCAAAGGGAAUCCCAGUCCUGCCUAUGUCUAAAGACAUGAGAAAAAUUCAUCUCUCUUUGCCCAAGGUUCUCCUCAGCUCAUCCCUCCCACCUUAGCAUCUUCCACCAUAGCAGUGUUUAGAACCAAAGCACGAAGGGCUAGUGCCAGCAAGAGAGUGCACAGAAAUAUUGUCACUAGAUCUAGGCAGAAGAGCCCGAAGGUAUGAUCCCAAAGAAACCAGACUGUCUCCAAUAGCUGGCAGUGGUCAUCCCAUUCCACUUUGGCAUGCCCUUGGCAAUGGGAGCCUGGGUUGGAGAGCCAGCUGUGCCUAUUGUUUCCACCUCAGCAUCUUCCUGCCCAGACCUAGCAGCCCUGAGGUCCUAAUGAGUAUGCUACUGGCUUGUUGGUAUGAAACAUGGUGGCGUUGUAGGGGCAAUCAGGCAAAUGUGACUACCCAUAUGGUAGGUAUUUUGUGUCUGGAAAGCUCUGCCCAGCCAGUACAGCUGUGGCCAGAGUCUGGUUAUAAAUUUGAACUCCUUCAGCCCAUUUGCAACUCUGCCUCUGUUCUCUUGCAUUCUGUUUGGUUGCCCUUUAGUUUCCUAGUAAAUGUUCCUUUUGAAAAACUCAAA